ACAAAAGCAGCAAAAAGAAACGGAGAAAAAGCUUAUAAAGGAAAUUUCAGGGGAGGAGGAAAAAGAAUGCAACACAAAUCACAAAAGAAUAACUACCAUAGACUACAAUGAAGUUCUAGACUUUGGAGAGAACCCUGUCACAGAUGUGGAUACAAAACUUCAGAUAUUAAAAUUCAGUUACAAGUGGUCAGACGCAGUUGAAGAGGAGGAAAGACCUAUGGAGGUACAGAUAUAAAUUACUUAAAUAUAUAUAUAUAUACAGCCAAACUUCAGUAUCUCCAACUCAAAGGGACCGAGAAAAAACUCUGAGACAUUUGAGGAUUCGACAUUUUGAGGGUU